CCUACGGGGGGCAGUGGAGUAUAUUGGACAAUGGGCGAAAGCCUGAUCCAGCCAUGCCGCGUGUGUGAAGAAGGCCUUCGGGUUGUAAAGCACUUUCAGUGGGGAAGAAAGCCUUGGGGCUAAUACCCUCGAGGAAGGACAUCACCCACAGAAGAAGCACCGGCUAACUCCGUGCCAGCAGCCGCGGUAAUACGGAGGGUGCGAGCGUUAAUCGGAAUUACUGGGCGUAAAGCGCGCGUAGGCGGUCUGAUAAGCCGGUUGUGAAAGCCCCGGGCUCAACCUGGGAACGGCAUCCGGAACUGUCAGGCUAGAGUGCAGGAGAGGAAGGUAGAAUUCCCGGUGUAGCGGUGAAAUGCGUAGAGAUCGGGAGGAAUACCAGUGGCGAAGGCGGCCUUCUGGACUGACACUGACGCUGAGGUGCGAAAGCGUGGGUAGCAAACAGGAUUAGAUACCCUAGUAGUC
rnacentral:rRNA from 1 species